CCCCACAGCCUGGGUCUUCUCCGGUUGCUCCAAGGCUCCAAGGACACUGACACCGAAUCCUUGAGCCCCAGAUAUCUGAGGUGUCCCUGGGCCUCUGAGAUCUUUGUGUCUCUGUGGCUGCGGUGUGACAUUUGCCGAGUGUCUGCUCUCGGAACGGCACGACUUCCCUGCAGGGCGGGGUGCGUUUCCUUUUCCGACAGCUGCGGUCUUCCUAGGAAGAGCCAGGGCGCGGCUGCUGCGUGCAAGAUGGGCCCCUCUCCCGUCUCGGCCCCACAAGGUUCCCAGACCCCCCAACUCAGAGGAACGUUUAAUCUCGUGGACGUGGGAACGAAAUGACAAGUGCAAUCCCUCCUCGGACCUCAGUGUGCAGGCCCGCCUUGCCGGGCUCUCUCCCGGCUCCAGCACGGUGCAGCCGGCCCCAGGCCCCGACAUGAAUCUGUUCUCUCCAAAAGAUGGUUCCUGGGCUAUAUUUCUACAAUGCAAUCGGGUAGAGCUCCUGUGGACAUUCACGUACACCUGCUACCAGCGGUCAAGCUGACGCCUACCACUGCCACCUUGUCUCUAGCUCAACCUUCACGCUCCUGCUGCCUGGGAAGAAACACAUGCGCUUCUACCAGGGUCUCCCCUCCUCUCCCGUCUAGCGGGUGUUGGGUAAGAUGCAGCUCAGCGGAAUCAAGAGACGGUGCCCACCCGUUUAUCCUCCUGCUCCUCGGACGCUGGCUGUGCUCCCUGCUGAUGUUCUGUGGAGCUCCCUGGUCCUGAUGCCCUCUGUGCCCCUCCUCCCCGUAUCCUAGCAACGCUUCCCAGCAGCCUCCCUCCUUCGUGCGCUCAGGUGGUGUUCCUGGAGCAGGUCCCUGCCAGAGAUUAUCUUGGUGGAAAAGGGGUGAGUGUUAUCCAGACCCCAGACGGGGUGUAUGAGACGCUGGGGCACAUGUCCCUGUGUCCUACGGGCCGGAUGCACCCCGAGUCAUCUGUACCCUGCAGCUAGCAGGGUAUGGUGCAUUCAGACAACGCAUUCUUCCUCUUAUCUCCCCAGCCUGGGUCACAUUAAUCAUCGUCUCGGGCCUCACAGAUGUCAGUUCAUUUGAGUUCAUGCCUUUCCGAGUGCAGGACUUGGAGGUGUGGAUGUGCAGGACGUGCUGCUCAGCCAUCCCGUUCUCCGGCAGACUCUACUGCAGGUCCCAGGGUGCCCUUAGCAUGGACCUGACCCCUGAGCCUCAAUUUCCUCCUCCACAAAAUGGGGAUGCUUGUAGCACCCAUGCAUUAGGGGUGUCAGGACAACUGAGUGUUGUGACGGGGAAAGGUGCUUAGACCGCUCCCCGUUUCACAUCAGAGAUCGGCUAUUACUUACGGUUCUCGCUGGUUGAAGUAUCAGCUUUUACCAGCUUCCAAAUAGUUAUCUUUAGUGCUUUAGAGAAGGGCAGAGGGUCAGGAUUCCCUGGGAAGGGAAGGGCAUGCAUGUCUGUAAGCAGUGAAUUGGGGUCAGAAUGACCUGGGUUCCAUGUCUGCCCGGCCACUUGCCUGCUGAGUGACCUGGGACAAGUUACCUAUCCUCUCUGAACUUCUGUUUCUUUACAUGCAAAGGAGGGAAUUAGAAUGCCCCCUUGCAGGAUUGUGGUCAAGGUCACAAAGUGCCCAGCCUGGGGCCUGGCACACAGUGAACGCUCAAAAAGAAAGACAAGGUCGCUGCCCCUGUGAAGGCAUCCUCAUCCUGGUCCCUCUGGCUGUCCUCUGCAGAGACAGCUUGCGGUUCAGGGCUCACACAGAGGUUACCGCUUCUGAGUCACAGUCCCGAUUUUCCAGCAUCUAGAACCAGCCCCCUAAAAUCUUCUCCUCUGGGGACCUCUGGGGAAACUGAUUUUCUACCCAUGAGGGACUUCCUGACUUGGGGUCACUCUGGCGUUCGUAGGGCUUUCACUCCUGAUGCUUCCCCCCCUUCCCCCGCCCCCGGUUCCUCUGCUGCCUAGCAGGCAGAGCCUCUGUUCCAGACUGGCCCAUUUCUAUACCAGUUUGGUCUGCUCGCUCCUCUGCACCCCUCCGGGCACGGGUCUCCCACUGGGGAUGCCCUCUCUGUCCACUUGAAUGUCACAGUUUCCCAGCCCACGUCCCACAGCCCCAACCCACCUCAGCCCCACUUUCUGCAUCCUCACUAUCCUGGACAGGGUGGCCACCCACUCCCCCCAGGGCUGAAGC